GCAUGCAUUCCUGGGCAAUUCUUGCUUUGGCAGUUGGCAACUCAUGUUGUAAUCAACUACAAAGAGUAGGCCUACUGCCAAAGAAGAUUUGCCCCACAAUUCAUUC
rnacentral:pre_miRNA from 1 species